rnacentral:rRNA from 1 species
AAUGAACGCUAGUAGUAUGCUUAACACAUGCAAGUCGAACGAAAGUUUUACACCUUCGUGGCGUACGGGUGAGUAAAUGCAGAAUUCUUCCUUCCAGUUCAGUACAAAAUUGCUUCUAGUAAUAAAUUCUGAAUAUUUUUAAAGGUUUAUUCCGCUGAAAGAUGAAUCUGCUUAAGAUUAGGUUGUUGGUAAUUUAAAAGCUUACCAAGCCGAUGAUCUUUAGUUGGUCUGAGAGGAUGAUCAACCACACUGGAACUGAAACAAGGUCCAGGCUAAUUCGUUGGCCAGCAGUGAGGAAUAUUGGAGUCAAUGAACGAAAGUUUGAUCCAGC